UACGAUCGUCGACUCAGGGUAAGUCGGGACCUAAGCCGAGGCGGAGACGCAUAGGCGAUGGACAACAGGUUGAAAUUCCUGUACCGGAUGGAGUCAAUUGAGCGAAGGAGCGACGCAGGAGGGCACAUGAUCGCGCGGCUGGAAGAGCGCGUCCAAGUGCGUAUGCGUAGAGGGAGGCAAAUCCCCCUUUACAGAAGCAGAGACAUGAUGGGGAGUUAAAGGAGACUUUGACGAACUCAUGGAUCCCACACUGCCAAGAAAAACUUCUAGCGAGACGAAAUCCGCCCGUACCGUAAACCGACACAGGUAGGCGGGGAGAGAAUCCUAAGGUGCGCGGGAAAACCCUCGUUAAGGAACUCGGCAAAUUGCAUCCGUAACUUCGGGAGAAGGAUGACCCUGAGUAGGCGAAAGGGAGAAACCCCCGGAACAGAAAAGGGUGGCAGAAAAGAGGCCCAAGCAACUGUUUACCAAAAACACAGGUGCCUGCGAAAGCGAAAGCUGAAGUAUAGGUGCUGACGCCUGCCCGGUGCUGGAAGGUUAAGGAGAGAGGUCAGCGAAAGCGAAGCUUUGAACUGAAGCCCCAGUGAACGGCGGCCGUAACAAUAACGGUCCUAAGGUAGCGAAAUUCCUUGUCGGGUAAGUUCCGACCCGCAUGAAAGGCGUAAUGAUUUGGGCACUGUCUCAACGAGGGGCCCGGUGAAAUUGAAAUACCUGUGUAGAUGCAGGUUACCCGCGACUGGACAGAAAGACCCCAUGGAGCUUCACUGCAGCUUGAGAUUGAAUCCCGGUGACAUAUGCACAGGAUAGGUGGGAGGCUAAGAAGUAAUGCCUUUGGGUGUUACAGAGCCGAUGUUGGGAUACCACCCUUAUGUUGCUGAGAUUCUAACACGGAGACUAACAACCUCGUGGACCAUCUCAGGCAGGCGGUUUGACUGGGGCGGUCGCCUCCUAAAAUGUAACGGAGGCGCCCAAAGGUUCCCUCAGGCCGGACAGAAACCGGCCGAAGAGUGCAAAGGCAGAAGGGAGCUUGACUGCGAGACAGACAAGUCGAGCAGAGACGAAAGUCGGGCUUAGUGAUCCGGUGGUACUGAGUGGAAAGGCCAUCGCUCAACGGAUAAAAGCUACCCUGGGGAUAACAGGCUAAUCUCUCCCAAGAGUUCAUAUCGACGGGGAGGUUUGGCACCUCGAUGUCGGCUCAUCACAUCCUGGAGCUGGAGUAGGUUCCAAGGGUUGGGCUGUUCGCCCAUUAAAGUGGUACGCGAGCUGGGUUCAAAACGUCGUGAGACAGUUUGGUUCAUAUCCAUCGCGGGCGCAAAAAGUUUGAGGGAGGCUGCUCCUAGUACGAGAGGACCGGAGUGGACGGAUCAACGGUGUACCAGUUGUCACGCCAGUGGCACGGCUGGAAAGCCGCAUCCGGAAAGGAUAAACGCUGAAAGCAUCUAAGCGUGAAGCCCGUCCCGAGAUGAGACUUCUCAUCAGCAAUGAGUAAGACCCCUUAAAGACGAUGAGGUUGAUAGGCUGUGAGUGGAAGUGGCGCAAGUCAUGGAGCGACGCAGUACUAAUAGGUCGAGGUCUUAGCUAA
rnacentral:rRNA from 1 species